UACAGAGGUCCCAAGCGUUGCUCGGAAUCACUGGGCGUAAAGGGUGCGUAGGCGGGUCUUUAAGUCAGGGGGGAAAUCCUGGAGCUCAACUCCAGAACUGCCUUUGAUACUGAGGAUCUUGAGUUCGGGAGAGGUGAGUGGAACUGCGAGUGUAGAGGUGAAAUUCGUAGAUAUUCGCAAGAACACCAGUGGCGAAGGCGGCUCACUGGCCCGAUACUGACGCUGAGGCACGAAAGCGUGGGGAGCAAACAGG
rnacentral:rRNA from 1 species